rnacentral:rRNA from 1 species
GAUGAACGCUAGCGGCAGGCUUAACACAUGCAAGUCGAGGGGCAGCAAGGGUAGCAAUACCUGUUGGCGACCGGCAAACGGGUGCGGAACACGUACAGAAUCUACCUUUAUCUGGGGCAUAGCCCGAAGAAAUUCGGAUUAAUACCCCAUGGUAUAUUUGAGUGGCAUCACUCGACUAUUAAAGUUACCAACGGUUCAAG